AUUGAACGCUGGCGGCAGGCUUAACACAUGCAAGUCGAGCGGGGUGAUGGUGCUUGCACUAUCACUUAGCGGCGGACGGGUGAGUAAUGCUUAGGAAUCUGCCUAUUAGUGGGGGACAACAUCUCGAAAGGGAUGCUAAUACCGCAUACGUCCUACGGGAGAAAGCAGGGGAUCACUUGUGACCUUGCGCUAAUAGAUGAGCCUAAGUCGGAUUAGCUAGUUGGUGGGGUAAAGGCCUACCAAGGCGACGAUCUGUAGCGGGUCUGAGAGGAUGAUCCGCCACACUGGGACUGAGACACGGCCCAGACUCCUACGGGAGGCAGCAGUGGGGAAUAUUGGACAAUAGGGGGAACCCUGAUCCAGCCAUGCCGCGUGUGUGAAGAAGGCCUUAUGGUUGUAAGGCACUUUAAGCGAGGAGGAGGCUCUUUUGGUUAAUACCCAAGAUGAGUGGACGUUACUCGCAGAAUAAGCACCGGCUAACUCUGUGCCAGCCGCCGCCGUAA
rnacentral:rRNA from 1 species